UCCCCGGUGGCGCAAUUGGCUAGCGCGUCUGACUGUUAAUAAUCAACGUUAUUAAGAGCCAUCAGGAGGUUGAAAGUUCGAGCCUUUCCCGAGGAG